UGCAGGGCAUGGAAGCCAGGCUGAGGGGUUCACUAGACUUAGGAGGUGUUGGAGAGAAAUGGAAAGAUUUUAAAAGGGUUUGGAAAGACAUAACCAGACUGGUUCUUCAGAAAGAUCGCUCUGCCUGAAUGGGAAGAAUGGGGAGGGCUAGGGUAGGAGAUUAAACCUGAGAAACCAGCUGGAGCUGAUGCAGUGGUCCAGGGCACCGUUCAGGCCCCAGGAAACAAUCUCUACAUGCGGCACUCGACUCUGAAAACAACAGGUCAAGUGUCCUGAUGCUUCGUGGAUGAUGUCACCGCAGACAGAGGAGACAGAUGCUGCUUCAAGAGAGGAUUUGAGUGAACUUGAACUUAGAGGCCUAGCAGAUGCUGCUGAUGCCUCCAGAGCUCUGAGUGCAGUGCAGACCUCUCUCCUUUCCUCGAAGCGCAGGCAGCUGCCUCCUGGAUGGCUCUGUUCCAGGGCCCCAUGGUGGUCAAACCCAACUUGCCAACUCAGACCUCUGCUCAUCUGUGCAAAGCUGUGACUUGUCAUGUUCCCAGCUCCAUACCGCAGGCCUCCUCACCCUUUCCUGUAGCCCCACAUGGGACCACUUACUGUUCCCAAAUGCACAGUGCUACCUUUACCUCUGGGCCUUGGCAGGCACUGUUCCCUCUCCCCCAAGUGCCCUUCGCCAUCUGGCUCACUACUAUUCCUUCUCUUUCAACCUCAGCUUGAGGAGUGUGAUGGUUAAUUUUAUGUAUCACCUUGACUGGGCCACAGGGUGCCCAGAUAUUUGGCCAAACACUAUUCUGGGUGUGUCUGUAAGUCGGCUUCAUCCAAUCAGUUGAAGGCCUGAAUAGAACAAACAGGCUGAGUACAAGCAAAUUCCUUCUGCCUGACUGCCUUGAAGCUGGGACAGGUUUUUUCCCUGCCUUUGGACUUGAAUUGAACCAUCGGGUUUUCCUGGGUCUCAAAGCUGCCAGCAGCCAAUCUUAAGGGUUUGUCAGCUUCCAUCAUUGCAUGAGCCAAUUUCAUAUAAUAAAUCCCUUAAUAUAGCCUAUUGGUUCUGUUUCUCUGGAGAACCCUAAUACAGUGGGUCACCUCCUAUCUUCUCCCUGCUGAGAU